rnacentral:rRNA from 1 species
GUUGACCUCGAAUCAGGUAGGAAUACCCGCUGAACUUAAGCAUAUCAAUA